CUGCGAAUGGCUCAUUAAAUCAGUUAUCGUUCCUUUGAUAGUACCUUACUACACGGAUAUCUGUGGUAAUUCUAGAGUUAAUACGUGCUAAAAACCUCGACUUCGGAAGGGGUGUAUUUAUUAGACUAAAAACCAACGCCCUUCGGGGCUCCUUGGUGAUUCAUAAUAACUCAACGAAUCGCAUGGCCUUGAGCCGGCGAUGGUUCAUUCAAAUUUCUGCCCUAUCAACUUUCGAUGCUAGGGUAGUGGCCUAGCAUGGUGACAACGGGUAACGGGGGAUUAGGGUUCUAUUCCGGAGAGGGAGCCUGAGAAACGGCUACCACAUCCAAGGAAGGCAGCAGGCGCGCAAAUUACCCAAUCCCGACACGGGGAGGUAGUGACAAUAAAUACUGAUACAGGGCUCUUUUGGGUCUUGUAAUUGGAAUGAGUACGAUUUAAAUACCCUAACGAGGAACAAUUGGAGGGCAAGUCUGGUGCCAGCAGCCGCGGUAAUUCCAGCUCCAAUAGCGUAUAUUAAAGUUGUUGCAGUUAAAACGCUCGUCGUUGAACCUUGGGCCUGGGCGAUCGGUCCCCCUCACCGGGAGCACUGGUUCGGCCGGGCCUUUCCUUCUGGGGAUCCGCAUGCCCUUCGCUGGGCGUGCUGGGGAACCAGGACUUUUACUUUGAAAAAAUUAGAGUGUUCAAAGCAGGCCUUUGCUCGAAUACCUUAGCAUGGAAUAAUAGAAUAGGACGUGCGGUCCUAUUUUGUUGGUUUCUAGGACCGCCGUAAUGAUUAAUAGGGUCAGUCGGGGGCAUCAGUAUUCAAUUGUCAGAGGUGAAAUUCUUAGAUUUAUUGAAGACUAACUACUGCGAAAGCAUUUGCCAAGGAUGUUUUCAUUAAUCAGUGAACGAAAGUUAGGGGAUCGAAGACGAUCAGAUACCGUCGUAGUCCUAACCAUAAACUAUGCCGACUAGGGAUCGGGGUAUACUCAUUUUUGGUUACCUCGGCACCUUACGAAAAAUCAAAGUGUUUGGGUUCUGGGGGGAGUAUAGUCCCAGGCCAAUA
rnacentral:rRNA from 1 species